GCGCAGGCCGUUCAGCGAGGCUGGGCCUGUUCUGUGGUCCUGACCUUUCCUGUAGUGUCUGCAAGAAAGACCGGGGCGGUUUGAGGCCUGGCUGUGACUCUCCACAGCGAGGUUAAAGAAACCUCGUACAAUA